rnacentral:lncRNA from 1 species
CAUCACGUGACUAAAAACGACCAACCAACGACCUCGCUUCGGCCAUCUUGGCAUCUUCAUCUUGGCCACCUUGCUUUGCCGUGGGUGGAUCGUUGUUUCUAUUAUUUGUGCUUUUUAAGAAUAUUUUUUUAAUUCGGAUACUUUUAUAAUAGCUUUAAUAGUAUUAUUAACAUAGUGAAAAAAAUGGUGUCCUGUUUUUAACGCAGUUGGAGUAGCAGAAACAAAUGUAGAUAAAAAAAUCUGCAGGAAUAACGUUUCAAUUAUGACAGAAGCUCCAAACAAAUGACUGUGAAUGAAAAGCCCUAUUAAAAGCUUUCCAGAAGAUCCUGCGAAGAAGACAUGAAGUAUAGAUCAGAUUUGUUAAUAGAGGAGUAUGUUCAAAACACUUUUUAGAAAAAGAUAUUGACAGAACUUCACUUUCAUCUGUUCGUUUAAGAGACUGUGCUGUUCCAAUAGCUUAUGUCACACAGAAUCAGCUGAGAGAAGUGGUCUACAAAAAACCAGAAAGGAAACAGAAUAUGUGGCUACGAAAAGCAAAAGAAAGGUUUACAAAGCAAAUGUGACACAUUUUUUUAUAAUAUUUAGGAAUGUCAGUAAAUUACAUUAAAAAAUGUAUGUAAAGAUUUUUUGCAAUAAAAAUGUUUAUAUUUA